UACGUAGGUGGCAAGCGUUGUCCGGAUUUACUGGGCGUAAAGAGCGCGCAGGCGGUCGAUCAAGUCGCGUGUGAAAGCCCCCGGCUCAACUGGGGAGGGUCACGCGAUACUGAUCGACUCGAAGGCAGGAGAGGGUAGUGGAAUUCCCGGUGUAGUGGUGAAAUGCGUAGAUAUCGGGAGGAACACCAGUGGCGAAGGCGACUACCUGGCCUGUUCUUGACGCCUGAGGCGCGAAAGCUAGGGGAGCAAACGGGG
rnacentral:rRNA from 1 species